CUACAUGCAGCCUUGUAUAGCAGGACACAUGACAUCUAUUUGUAGCAAGCACGGCCUGCCUGACUCCUCAUUCCUGUCUAACAUUGUUGUCUCCUGCACAAGUGUAGAUGGCUCUCUUUGGAGUAGCCUGUUAACUAAGCCUUGCUUUGUGGUUGCCCCCACCUGUCCAAUUAAUCUGCUAGGUGCAGAUGUCCUUCCCCC